GUCGACGAGGACAUCGGAGAUGAGUACAUCGGCGGUUCUUCUGGCGCACGGAAAAAAUAACACGUGGGUAACCUGUCCUCGAGUUCGGGAUACCCUCUCGCAAGGGAGGCUAAUAACGGAUACGUUCCCCGGAUUGCGAAAUCUGGGGAGGAAAGGUGGCGAAAGCUACCGCUCAUGGAGGGGCUCGCGGCCUAUCAGCUAGUUGGUGAGGUAACGGCUCACCAAGGCUAUGACGGGUAGCUGGUCUGAGAGGACGACCAGCCACACGGGAACUGAGACACGGUCCCGACUCCUACGGGAGGCAGCAGUGGG
rnacentral:rRNA from 1 species